GACGACUUGAGGCCGUUCUGAAGGUGUUCUUAAUGUAUUGUACACUCAGUGUAUAGUCCUACUCCCCGGACUCCCGAACGAGGACCGAGUUUGUUCUUCACGGUAACAUCUGGCAGAGUCUCCCCGCGCGGCCGUAUUGUGUCUGGCCAGUCAUGUAAAGUGGCUUACUCUUGGUAUCAUGGACCUCCAAUCCCUCAGUAAGUUAUUCAUUUGAAGAAGAAGAAGAAGAAGAAGAAGAAGAAGAAACUCCUACAAUAACAGUAUGGUUUCCAGUACCUUCGGUGCUAGGACCCCUAAUUAAUGUGAUUUUACAUAGAAUUUAGAUGUCCUUUGAAGUUAAAUUAAACUAUUUUAGGGUUGUCAUUGAGUUAUGUCUGCCUUGCAAAGUUGUGUUAAAAUAUUGCUAAACACA